AAAAAAAGAAGUAUUAAAACCUCUCUCCUGAAGAUGUCGGAAAACUUACAGUUUCCGGCUGAACCUCUGACUGUUAGAAAGCGCUGACACUGGAGACUCCUUCCGUAAACGUACUAGUGGAGCGUCCGCAGCGCAAGUCCCUGCGAAUGAGCUGUUUCUAUGGAAAUGACUAGCUGUCCUGUUGCUCUGAUCGCUGCCCACAGGUGUGUGUUAUUUUCGGCCGUCGCCCUGUACACUUCACUUUGGCCUGAGGAACAGAGGAACCAUAUCCAGUGCUUUAUUUUAUGAAUCUCCUCAAAGGUAGUGCAGAU